rnacentral:rRNA from 1 species
GCAAGUCGAGCGGAAACGACACUAACAAUCCUUCGGGUGCGUUAAUGGGCGUCGAGCGGCGGACGGGUGAGUAAUGCCUACGAAAUUGCCUGGUUGUGGGGGAUAACCAUUGGAAACGAUGGCUAAUACCGCAUAAUGCCCACGGGCCAAAGAGGGGGACCUUCGGGCCUCUCGCGUCAAGAUAUGCCUAGGUGGGAUUAGCUAGUUGGUGAGGUAAUGGCUCACCAAGGCGACGAUCCCUAGUUGGUCUGAGAGGAUGAUC